CCAGACUCCUACGGGAGGCAGCAGUGAGGAAUAUUGGUCAAUGGGCGGGAGCCUGAGCCAGCCAAGCCGCGUGAGGGAAGAAGGUACAGCGUAUCGUAAACCUCUUUUGUCAGGGAACAAAGGCGGGGACUAGUCCCCGGAUGAGGGUACCUGAAGAAAAAGCAUCGGCUAACUCCGUGCCAGCAGCCGCGGUAAUACGGAGGAUGCGAGCGUUAUCCGGAUUUAUUGGGUUUAAAGGGUGCGCAGGCGGCUUGUGAGGUCAGCGGAAAACGCCGGGGGCUCACCCCCGGCGAGCCGUUGAAACUGGCGGGCUGGAGUUGGAGAGAAGUACGCGGAAUGCGCGGUGUAGCGGUGAAAUGCUUAGAUAUCGCGCAGAACCCCGAUUGCGAAGGCAGCGUACCGGCUCCACACUGACGCUGAGGCACGAAAGCGUGGGUAUCGAACAGGAUUAGAUACCCUCGUA
rnacentral:rRNA from 1 species